UACAGAGGUCUCAAGCGUUGUUCGGAUUCAUUGGGCGUAAAGGGUGCGUAGGCGGCGCGGUAAGUCGGGUGUGAAAUCUCGGAGCUUAACUCCGAAACUGCAUUCGAUACUGCGUGCUUGAGGACUGGAGAGGAGACUGGAAUUCAUGGUGUAGCAGUGAAAUGCGUAGAGAUCAUGAGGAAGACCAGUGGCGAAGGCGGGUCUCUGGACAGUUCCUGACACUGAGGCACGAAGGCCAGGGGAGCAAACGGG
rnacentral:rRNA from 1 species